rfam:Oryza sativa Japonica Group DNA, chromosome 6, cultivar: Nipponbare, complete sequence.
AAUAAGUGUAGUUUUACAGUGUUCAUGUUCAACUUUUAACCAUUCGUCUUAUUUGAAAUUUUUUUAUGAUUAGUAUUUUUAUUGUUAUUAGAUGAUAAAAUAUGAAUAGUAAUUUAUGUGUGACUAAUUUUUUUAAAAUUUUUCAAACAAGACGAACGGUCAAACGUCGGACACGGUUCCCCACGACUGCACUUAUU